CUUUUCAGGCUUUUACCUACAGCCUCUUUCAGUUGUUGUUUGUUUUAGGGGGUUCAGGAGGUGAAAUGCUGCUCAGUCGGGUGAUUUACUGGUCUGGUGAUUGACUUGGCCAGUCUAAAAUCUUCCACCCCCCACCCGUCUGAUAAAGUCCUUUGUUGAGUCGGCAGUGUGUUUUGGGUCAUUGUCUUGCUGCAUGAUAAAGGUCCUCCCGAUUAAUUUGGAUGCAUUUCUCUGUAAAUUGGCGGACAUGUUCCUGUAAACUUCUGAAUUCAUUCUGCUGCUACCAUCAUGAGUUACAUCAUCAAUAAAGAUCAGUGAGCCUGUUCCAGAAGCAGCCAUGCAAGCCCAAGCCAUGACACUACCUCCACCAUGUUUCACAGAUGAGCUUGUAUGGUUUGGAUCAUAUGCAGAUUCUUUCGUUCUCCACACUUUGUCCUUUCCAUCACUUUGGUAGAGGUUAAUCUCGUUUCCAGAACUUUUGUGGCUCAUCUUAGUAUUUCUUUGCGACUUCCAAUCAGGCUUUUUGAUUCUUACUGCUGAUGAGUGGUUUGUAUCUUGUGGUAUGUCCUCUAUAGUUCUGCUCUAGUCUUAGGCUAGAGGUGUACAUCGAGACUGGACGCAAACAUAAAUUUGCACAAGCAGGACGUUUUUACUUCAAUGCAGAUACGACCGAGUGCUCAGAUGUGAAGCUUAUGAGACAAACGUUCGUUAACAUUAACAGGAACAUGCAGUGCGAUGCAUUUACUACCGUUCACUUUGCAAAUGUACUUUACUACUCAAUCUGUUCUCCGUGUGUUUGUAUUAGCUAAUUUGUGCAUGUUAUUCUUUCAGAAACACAAGAAAAGCUACAUAUUGUUGGCACAGUAACCGCGACACAGAGAAAUAAAUAUACAGAUGGCACAGAUGACUCACUCCCGCCUGAUAUAAUCAAGUUUGAAAUACAUAAAUACAGGGAAACUCAGACACCUCCAAUUAGUCACAAGUUCUCUAGUUAAACAAGCUCACAACUGGACAACGAUGCACUAAAUUCAAAAACAAAUAAAUGCCUUACCGAUUCAAGAACAUAACUGUCAGCCCAGAAGCUUUAAGCGCUCGCACUCUUUCCGUCCUGAUUGGCUGCAACUCCUGCCAGUUACCGUGUAUUCCGAAUUCUUUUGUGCCUGGAUUUGGGGCGUGAUGAUAUUUGACAUAUCUGAGAUGUUGAGUACAAAUUUCUGGGCAUCUCCAACCUAGAACCCCUGACAAAGACCACUGUCGUUAACGUUAACAUGCAGCACGUGAUGCAUUUACAGCGUGCAUUCGUUCAUCCUUAGUAACUGCCUGGUCAGGGUGGCUGUGGAUUAAACUAGUUACUAAAAUAAUAACUGCGCACAUCUUUGGUUGAGACCUGUUAUGAACUUGAAUGAUGUAGCUGAGCUGGAGGAACUGUCCUAGGUGUCACAAACCAUACUGACAGUGCUAGCAUUUAUCCAGAUCCAGAUACAUGUACUGUCAUUGCAUUACAUCUACAUAUCAGAGAAUCUGAAAAAAAAAAAAAUUCUGUAAUCCUGUAUAAGUGGGUAGCAUACUUAGUAUUUAUAGACUUAAAAAGCAAAAAAACAAAAAACAAACUUGUAAUAGCUAUUAUAUUGUAGUGGGCUGAGUUGAUUGAAAACGUGUGUGUGCAUGGAUCCUUAUGAUCCAGGGUGUGCCGUGUAUUCCCGGGAAGUGUUUAAAGAAAUUGAGUGAGAUUAUAAUAGCUAUAAUAACAUAUUAAGGAUUUUUGAGAAUCCUAUAAUUAUAAUAUUUAUAGGGUUUGGUAUUCUAAUAUCUGUAGUAAUAUACUGAAGAGUUUUUGGUGAGCUUUAAUACUAAUGAUGACAGUGAUAUAGUGAAUAGGUCUUCUGUAGUUACAAGAAGAUAAGCAAAGUUUUUGCAUCUCUAAGGUUAUUAUAAUCCUCAGUAUAAUAGAAACGUUAUGAGACUAGGACAACUUUUCUGUGCACAUCAAUGUGACUGAGUAGCAGGUAAAAGAGCAAAACCCUUGCUUGCUCUGCCGUAAUCCUUCAGCGCACUGCUGUGUUGGCUCGUGUCUCACCUUGCACUGCUGUGUAAGCGCUUUCCCUGAGGCCCUGCACACCUCAGAGGCUGACGGUGUAGAACCAGCCUACAAAUGCGGCUCCACGAUGCGGAUGUGCUCAGUAAGGGGGCGUGGCCGGCAAUAGUCAGCGACGUAUGAGAGCGUGUGCAAUGGCUUUGACGGUGGACAGCGGUAUUAGUAUGGAAGUUCAAGUGUAAAUAGAAUAAAACAUUAUUAUUAUUAUUUUCUUAUAAAACAGCACUUGAUCCAGCAUAUUCUAUUAUUUUGCAUUUUUUUAUAUAUAUAUAUCAUGCUCCAACAGUUAACUUAAUGAAGCUAUGAUGUACUUAAUCAAGGUCGUGAAAUUGCAAACAACUGCCCAUAUUUCUAAUGCAUGAAAUGAAUAAAACAAAACAUCUGGUAAGAACCAGGUGUGAAAGCACCAGCAUGAAGACCGAAAGAGCACCACCGCUGCCCCGAUGAUUCACGCUUUGAUUAUUAACAGAAAGAAGGAGGAUUUAGAUAUUCAUACGUUUAAGUGGGUGCGGUUUAGAGAGAUGUCACUGGUGCAUGAAGCCCGGGUUGUUCAGUGCUAAAAUAUCAUUUUUUCCCUUUUUAUAAUGUCUGUGUAUGGAUGUCAUAAGUGAAUCCCGUGCGACCAAGAAAGCCCAAUCAGAUUCUGAUCUUCUGUGGACCUGAUCUCUUCUGUGUCCAGUCACUGACCGAGUCACUUUAGAGAAAGCCUUAAUUAAAAUGCCUCUUUCCUCUUAGGUAGAUGUGGAAGUAGUGCAUGUGGAAAGAUGGCUAUUAAGUGAAGCUACAAAUGGAUCCGGUACUGUUCCCCAGUUUCUUCUACAUGCCAAAAACAUGCAGGUAGGUGGUUUGGCUAUGUUAAAUUGUCCCUAAGUGUGUGUAUGUGGUGAUCUGCGAUGAACUGGAGCCUUGUACAGGGUUACUGAAGACGAACGAAUGCCUACAGACGAGUUGUUUGUUGUAGAUACGUACAUAGAAGAUAAUUAUCGUUUUGGACAUGACCUCAUAUGGACUCGUGGAGCUAUGUUCAGAGUUGGCGAAGUCCAUACGUCGUGUCAAUAUUUCCACAGGGAGAAUGCACGUAUUCAGAGAUCUGUUAAGCAUGCAUCUAAGCCGAUUUCAGAAAGCGUCUAAACUUUAAACAUGAGCGCUUGUCUUUAAACGCAGAACAAAAGAAAAUCAGGGAUAGUAAAUGCUGAAUGAAGAGAAGAAGCAAGAAGCUUUAUUUUUCUUUUCUGUCAAAUGUAAUGCAGUGUAUUCCUUAGUUUUAUUAUAGAAAAGCGAGAGAUAAUUUCAAAAUGAAAAAUAAAGUAAGACUAAUAUGAUGAUAUAUGAACAAAACAAUGGCACGCGUUAAAAUAAAUAGGAGUCUAGUAUAGAGCUUAUAUAUUGCUGCAUGAAUAGUCCUAGUUGUAAUUGUCACAUUAAUCACGGCAACAUUUGGUUUAAUUUAAUUGAACUAUUGGUGUAAUUUAAAAAAAAAGUAACUUUAACUUUUGAAAUGGCACUUGAUCAAGCACGUUAUUAUUUUGCAUUAUAUAUUUUUUUAUAUCGUGCUUCGACAGUUAACUUAAUGAUGCCGUGUAAAGUAUUGCAUGUAAAUGAAAGAGCUUUAGUCAAACUCUCCCUUGUAUUCAUAACUCUCACACUUCUCACGUCCUUUACUUCUGAACACGGACAUGCAGAGAGUUCCUCAGGGCAGUAAAAAAACAAACAAACAAAAAAAACAAAGGGGGCAUCUAUCGCUAUGGAGUAAUUCCAAUAUAACAAUUACUAAUAAUAAGAUAUAUAAUUUUAUCAUUAUCACCCUGAUGAAAAAAAAAAAAUAGUGGAAAGAUCUUUAAAGUAUCUUAAAAGCAUUUUCAGGUGAAUAUUCAAGCCCGGGACUGUCACUAUACCACUAUACCACUGCUUCUGGAAAGAGCGCCCCCUGUCAUUUUUAGGGAAUUUCAUAUCGGGUCCUUUUUUGAUGGCAACUUAAAGCGCACCUAAUAACGUGCCUAAUUUUGUUUUAAAUUUCUCAUACAAUAGAUUUACAAGCAUCCAAGAUCAAAAAAACACUUUAACAUGCUCAUAAUUUAAAUUGCAGCAUUACAUUUUUUUCCAGUGACAAAAACGACUCGUUCAAUGAUCCGUUCUAAAGGAUUCGUUCUAAACUCUUCCUUUCAGAGAGCAUACCCUGCUCUGAUUGGUCAGAUGUCCCAGUUUAUUGUGAUUGGUCUACUGCUGUCAGCGUGUGCUGAUUGAAAAGGAAACGCCCACUACUAUAGAGUUCCAGCUCCAUCUGACACAAAUGUCUGUUUUACUCUAUCAAUUUGAGCCCGAAUCGGACAACGAUGAUGCAUCGGAAGAUAAACCCGAACCACCAUGGCGACGAGAACGGGACGUUUCUUAGUGGUAAGUUUAUAUGUAAUUUGACGUACAUUGAAGAUGAGAUGCAGAGAUGGAAACUCGAGUCUGCAACUUGGACUCGAGUCGCACUGAAGUCCCCAAAAAAAUGACUAUAUAGUUGAGUAACAAACAAUAACAAUAUAACCAAGUCUUACCUUGUGAUAAUCUUCAUGUCAUUUAAUUAGAAAAACAAUCAGUUAAUCUAAAAGGAAGCUGCGGCGUUACGCAGCUGGCAGGGGCUUGCUUGCCGUCCAUUUUCAAGCAAUACAAAAGUUUCCAUGUCUUUUAAAUGUAAUCUACCAUUUGCAUAUAAUAUCCAAGUUUACGAAAGUUAAAUACACUCUAUGCGCGAUCGCUUCCACGUUUCGUCUCAGCCAACUCGGUUCCAUCCGGUGCUGCGCCGGAAGCCGUUUUCCUUAUCGAAAGGGGGGUUUUGUUACCAUUGGCACUCACUGAAGAUUACCUUACCCAUCAUUGCUUGAGAACUGCAGCAAACUACGGCAACUCAAUUAGCUCAAAAUUCAUAGAACUUUGGCAUUUUGCACUAAAUGACCAAAAAAGUCAUAUCUUUCCUGAAGUUUCUAUGAAUGUUCUGUUUUCUCGUAAUUAUCGGGAGAGCGUUUGGAUCAAAUGUAAUUUAGUCUGAAAGUACAGAUUUCAUUUUGAAUGAAAUGAACGAUUUAAGUAAAACCUUGUUUGCUUUAUUGGACCAUUUUGAAUCCUCGAACAAGACAUUCUGCGGAAGUGAUAUCAGUUUGAAUAUUUCAAAACUGAUUUACGCUUAAUUGCAAUAACUUGCUGAAGGAACUACUGCUAAAAAUAGAACGAAGACUUGGGACUUGACUUGUGAGCACGUCUGAUGAGACGUUAUCAGUGUGCGAUUCCUCUACGUCGGCUGUGACGAGUGUAUAACAAACCGAUGUGGAUAUUUCUAGUUCAAUGAGGUGCACAUGUGGGAACUGUACCAGAAUGCCAAGCGAAGCUGAAAUCCUCUGCUGCCAUGAAGUAGGACAGAUAGUAUAAUAAGUUAUUAAUAAUUAAAACAUUAUAUUGCAACCUAAGUGCAAUCGGUGACACUAGCACAUACCGGAUUUUCCUUCCGAGGUUCUAAGACGAAUGAAAGAGAUUCCGGUACCGCCAACAUGCAUGAUGCACCAUUCCGGCUUCGAACCCAAUUGUCUUAAUCCAUACACACUUCGAAACAUACACAGCAUCUAUAGAACUGACUAUGGCCCUUUUGAGGCACAGAAUCAUCGAGGAGUAAUUGUUUUUUACUUGAUAAAAACUUAAAAUUAGCAAAUUAAUAUAGCUAUAACGAAGCUACAUUUUACAGAAUGACAUCAUAAAGACAUUCCAAAAAAAAUAAUUUUGUACGACAGGAAAAUUUAUUUCUAAACAUGGAAAAUCCUAAAAUGAAUUUGUAGACAAUACGGUCAUCUUGGUUAUGACAGCUUUGUGAGCUGGUGCUGGGGCUACGGCGUAUCCCCUCGUGUGUUGUACACGACGGGAUACGCGUCUCCCGGGAUACGUAGUUUCCGGAUCAGUCUGGUGGCCGUGUCGGCUUUCUACCACCCCUUGAUUGAAUCGGAAGACACGGCGAGCAAUUGUUUCCUCCUUUGUGGGUCUCUCCAACUCCGAACAAAGGGGUGUGGGAUUGGGGAUUGUCAGUACCUGUUCAAUAAAUGGAUCGGGGUCCACAAACACCUCCUCGAAGACCAGCCUCAGGAGGAUCCACAUAGUCUGCCAAAGAAAAAAUAUCACAGUAACAAUCACUUGAUUGUGUAUAUACAGGUGCAAUCAAAAUGAUUCAACCCCCAUUGCAAAUCAGAUUGAUUUUCAGCUGUUUGCGAUGAACAAAUCAAACACAAGCAAUUGAAGUAGUUCAACACGACGAAUGCUUCAAGUGGUUUCCACAAAAUUCAACUGAAAAUGCAACUUGUAAUGAUUUCUCCAGUCUCAAAAUGAUUCACCCCCCUGAAUAGAAUCCCUCACAACAGCACAAACAUUCAAAACCGGUGUCGUCUCAAACAAAUCUUAUCCUGCCGAGGUUUCGGCUUGUUCUCGAUUAGCAUUCUCAUUGUAAUGCAUUGCUACAAGGUACAGCCUGCAAGAACGAGUAACCCCAAACAGUUUUAUACAUGACGUUUCAGUGUGUGCCGUAUCAGCCACUAAAUCAUAACCUCCUUAUAAAAAAUGAUUCAGUGACAUUUUAUAAGUUAUAGUACCUGCACAACAUUCGCAUAAAAGGGAACACAUUUAUUUUUUUUGGUGUGAAACGCAGAAUCAAGCUGUGGAAGGCCUCCGGCGAUGAGGUUUAAAAGUGGUGACUUGGCUUCUCUACAUCUUUGAGAACUCUCGUUGCAGAGGAUUUUUUUUCCCAACUUUGUGACGUUCCAGCGACCCUACGUUGUCAAAAAAUAGUAAGCUUGUACAAUAAUUGCAAUUCAAGACUGUCCAUUCACAAAUAUAUUCAGUAAUGGAUAUUUUUAAGGUAUAGUGAGGUAUAUUAGUUUUAUUAUAAGAUAUUAAUCAUUUCUAUAACUACCGCUUUGAAACCUUUUUCCGGAUCCCUUGAAACUCUAUCAGGAUGUUCACACUCGAGCCCAAGGAGAAAUCUUGUAUUGUAUGAAACAACUGCUAUUUCAGAUAUAGAAGAAGUCUGUCCUUUUAGAAAGCAUAAAAUAAACAUCUCAGCCAAAUAGUCUGUACUCUCCAAAGUUGCGUGCAUUAUUUAUCACUGAAAGCACUUCACUGUCACUUCAUCGUGUUAGGCGGAUCACACUGAUAAAUAUUCAUAUUGCAUAAAUCAUGCCAUACUUCAUGUAAUAGAUUUCCUCCGUUUUCUUAAGGAAUCCGAAAGCUUUUGUAAUCACUGACUACGUUUACAUGAACAGCGAUAAUCUAAUUAUUGACCUUAUUCUCAAUAAGACAAUAUUGUGAUUGAGGUGUUUACAUGAGUCGCUUUUAGAAUACUCCUUUCAUGUUCCCGUUUUACACGUUAUAGAACAUAGAGCGAUUAACGGCACACGUCAUUACGUCACCGCGCCACGCCGUCCGACGUUCCCUCCAGAAUUUCACCUGUCGACAUACAGUUCGUCUUCGUUAUGGUCCCGUAUACAGUUUUGUGUGGUUUUAUUUUGAAUUUUUACGGAUACUUCAAGUGCGGUUAAUUAUUCGUCAUGCUGUACGUGCUAAUAGACGACUGCUUGAAGCCGUGGGCUGCGUCCCAAACCUACUAUAUAGUAGACGAGAUACAUGUAUUUCACCAACUAUAUACUGUAGUAGGUAAGUACUCGGACGCAGCCGUGCUCUCUCGUUUGCCGUUAAACGGUUGAGCGCUGCCGUGUGUGUACGUGUCCUGUCACAGAAUGCGGUGAAAACUCCCACACGACGUUAAUAGUGUGAUUAAGGAGUGUACGUGUCUGUAAUACACGUCGAUAAUGCGACUAAAACAGGAGUACUCCACACGUCUUAAUUCCAUUUGUGUUUACUUCGAGUACGACUUUAGUCAGAUUAAGGUUAUAAAAAAUAGCUGUUUACAUGCUAGUUUCUUAAUCAGAGUAUCGUCUUAAUCGGGUUAAUAUCGGAUUAUUGUUGUCCAUGUAAACAUACUGACUGACUGACAGUCACACUGAAACAAUUACCUGGAAAUAAUGAUGGUAUGAAUGGUAUAAUAAAUACUUAUAAAUAGAUAUUUAUCCAUUUUAAGUCCGAAAUUGGUGAAAUCCGGUCAUUUAUGAGAAACUGUGUGUAUAACUACGUGCAUAAGUAUGUCAUACUGUACUGUAUAAUAACUUUGUUAUAGCGCAGUGGAAUUCUUGAAUCUGAUUGGUCAGAAGGUGUUGAUGAAUUUUCCAUUAAUCGCAGGUUUAUUUUAACGCGCUCAUCAUAAUAUCUUAUCGUUUCUAGAGUAACAACUCAAUCUAAGAGGGAUUAAAACAUGCUGUUAUUCAACAAGGAAAACUGUGUCAUCACUGACACGCUACUGACUAUUUUCUAAUAACAACAUGCCUCAUAAGAGUUUUAUUCCAUACUUAAUAUAUCGGAUAAAGAAUCUUCUGCUUAAUUUUGUAACUCCAUGUUGCGCUUGAUUGAGACUAUUCAUCUCCGAGAGCCCUCGAUGAGCCAAAACACAACCGGUGCAGGAUUGUGAAACAUCCCUUUAGUUGAUUAAGCUUCCUAUCUUUCUGAACUCUGUAACCUUCUGUUCCUUCACUUCCAACUUUGCUAGCUUGCCUUUUGGUCUUUCGGUCUUUUCUAAAGCUCUCCUGCUAAAAACAGCGACGCAUCCGUGGAUGUUAACUCUGUAGCUUCUGGCAGUUCCAUGGACAAACCUGUCUGUGCUUAUUAGCAUCAGCAUUUUUUUUUCAUCCCCAGCAGCCUUAACUAGUGAAGUCGAAAUGCACAGUUUGUUUGAGAGCAGCAUUUUUUACAGGACAGUAAACAUGACUUGAGCGUUGCGUCAGGAUUAGAGAGGGAUUUGCACGCUAAGCUCCAGCCACCCAAGCCUCUGAUGCCCUAGGUCACUGCAUCCUAAUUGCCUCCUACAUAUAUAAUAGGCCUGUAUGAAAAUGGGCAUUUGGUUGGAGCAGGCAAGCGUGUAUGCCGAUUUCAUGAGCGCUUUCCUGCCUCAGUACGUGCACGAUCAGGAUGAACCUGAACUUCUUUGUCUUAUGCUGGGAGUCAUGCUAUGAGGGUUGUAGUUUGGUCUUCCAAAGUCUUCCGUGGUUAGCAGUCUCAAAUUCAUGGAAGAAUGGAGAAGCACCGAAAGAAGAAGACAAGACAGAGUUUUGAGAAACUAGUACUAAUUUUAAAUGGGAUAAUUGUUUUCCAUGUAUUAGUAUUCUAGGCUGAAGGUUUCCUUUCCGUAUUCUGAUAUUCAUAAUAUCCACUGGGUAAAUACACGUUUCUGUGUAUGUUAGUCUUACCGAUAUGAACCUGGUUUCUGCUCGACUGACAACAGAGCCCCAGAUGAGAUUAAGCCUCUUGGAACAAAGUUGUGUUGGAGAAUGCUAACCUCGAGAAGCAUUUGUCUCUGUCAGCAAAAUAUUAUUUGGUGGAAUGAGUCAGCAGAAUGAAUUCUUGCCCUUGUCUCUUCGUAUUGCAGUCGAGCCGACAGUGUCCAGAGUUGCUCAAAGCUGUAGGCUCUUUACUGCCAUUUUGCUGACUCCAUCUCCUCUGACUCUCUAGUUUGGACAGCACUUCUGCCUGCCUAAUGAUCAGCUUAGGAACACUUAAUUUACUGAAUUUUUUAUCAGGAUUUUCCAUGCGGACAAUUUGGGAAAGAAGUCUUCUAAUCCGUGUUGGCCAAUAGCCAAUUCCUCCAAAAAGUGAAAUAAUGGCAAAAAAAAAAUUCAAAUUUGUUUGGUAAAGUAAAACAUUCGAAAUCCUCUUUAGAUAAUUUAGACCCGCGAAAGUAAAGAACAAAUCAAAGCAAGCUAACAUGGAGCCUCGUUUGUCAAUCUUGUAGUAAAGUUGUGUGUAAAUAUUUUCUUAGGCCAAAUUUAAUUAAAAGAUUCCCACCACGUUUACAAAAGUUUUAGUAAUGCUGAUUUUCUUCAUGCUGACGUGUGUUUUGAUCAAUUAACCAUAAUGUACCUAGCAUAUUCUAUCUACUAUCCAUCCAUCCAUCCAUCUUUCCAUAAACUCAUAUGCUUGAUGAAUGAGGCCCACAUGAUGAAUGCACAUACCAAUAAGCUUGGGAAGAGGGGUUAUGUAUGUCUAUUCCCAGCAAUAGUACUAUUCGCGUAACUGGUAGUAAUUCAACUAAAAAUCACGGUUGGUCAAAUGAAUUUUUAUGAUUGAUUUGCUGUAAAAUGAUAACAUAUCAUUUGCGUGAAUGCGACAUUGCUGAGUCGCAAACAACCUGAGAAGAGCAGCGCUUGAUAAUAUUUUAUCCACGAUCAAUCUAACGGCCUCUGCAACCUCUCAUGCUUAAACUGCUGUGGCAUUGAUAUGCUUCCUGGUGGAAAUCCCACUCCUCUAUGUCUUAAGAAGUGCAUUUAAUAAUUAAUCGCAACAAGCGUGUCUGCGCAGGAGUAGCAAUGUUUUGUAAUGAAUAUCUGGAUCAGCUCUUACUGACUCCACUUCCACUGUUUUGGCUCUCGUAUGACAUGGUGACCCUUAGGUUCUGUUUACUAGCAGUCGUAACUUUUAGUCCUCGUUUAUUAAAGCAUCUGUGAUACCCCCCCCAAGUUUGGUCAUCUGUCGAUUCCCAUCUGCCAAUUCUAGCACAUGAUUACUCUGAGACAUGUGAAGCCAGCCAACUAAAGCUUUUCGAAGCUUCUGCCCAUGCUGCAUCAGUGGGCAGCAUUAAAAAAAAAAAAAAAUCACUAUCAGCCCUCUUCCGGUGCAGUGGUGGCUUGGCGGUUAAGGCUCCGGGUUACUGAUCGGAAGGUCGGGGGUUCAAGCCCCAGCACUGCCAAGUUGCCACUGUUGCGCCCUUUAGCAAGGCCCUUAACCCUCUGUGCUCCAGUGGCGCUGUAUCAUGGCUGACCCUGUGCUCUGACCCCAGCUUCCUAACAUGCUGGGGUAUGCGAAGAAAAGUUCACUGUGCUUUAAUGUAUAAAUGUAUAAAGACUCAUUGUCAUUAUCAUUCCACAUCCAUGAGCUCUUGAUUGGCUAGUGUCACUGUGAUUGACAGGGGAAAGAUAGUAUGUGAUCCCUCCCACCCAGGGAGCUCCCAGCCGUAGCAUCGCCUGGAUUCGUAUUCGCAAUCUCCUCAAGUCAAGUAGAUCUUUAUCGUCAUCAAAAUAUAGUCAUAUGCAUAUAGUGUGUAGUACACAGCGAGAUGAAAUAACAUUGUCCCUGGACACAAGGUGCAAGGUACAUGUAUGACCUACACAGUGCUGACAGCACAUAAAUAAAGUGCAACAGGAAUAGGAAGCAUGCAGAGAGGUGAUAUGGGUAACAGUGGGGGUGCAUACAAGGAUGGGCAGUAAAACAUACAUACUCCAAUCACAAAAAAAAUACAAAUUUAACAUGUUCAUAAGACAUUACAGUAAACUGGGUCCAAAGCUGCAAGUAGAACGACUUUAGGAAAAGUGUCAAUGCAGUAAUGCUUGUAAAAGAAACCCGAGAUGAAUGAUAAAGUGACAGUGUACUGUAAUGAGUCAGUACAAUCAAGUGUCUGUGUGCUGUAAACGUUAUGCCAGUGCAGUAAAUGAACAAUGUGUCCUGUGCAUCAUUAUUGAUUUAAAGUGUCUAUGCAGUGUUCAGGAGUAUGACAGCCUAGGGGUAGAAGCUGUUACCCAGUCUUGCAGUCCUUGAGUGGAUGCUGCAGUGCCUUCUUCCAGAUAGCAGAGGGGCAAAUAGAUUGUAGGAGGGGUGGGAGGGAUCAUCACAAUGCUGGAGGCCUUGCAGAUGCUACAUGGGUGGAAAUGUUCUGAACAAGAGGUAGAAGAGCACCAACGAUGGGUUCAGUUGUCCGGACUAUCCUCUUUUGGGUGUUGCGAUCCGAGAUGUUGCAAUACACAAACCAGACAGUGAUGCAGCUGGUCAGGACACAUCUAUGGUUCCACUGUAGAAUGUGGUGAGGAUGGGUGGAGGGUGUUGCUGGGCUCUCUUGGCCAAAGAGCUAGUGUUGGUCGUCUGGGUGAGGUCUUCCAUGAUGUGAACGCCGAGGAACUUGGUGCUCAUCACUCGCGCCACUGUGAAGCCGUUUAUGAAUGGUCGGAGAGAUCAGUGUGGAAUUUCCUGAAGUCAACAAUCCUCUGCUUUUGUUUUGUGAACAUUCAGAUUUGGUUCUGAAUGGUUGGUUGUUCUUUGGUUCUGGUGGUUGUUCUUGCCCCAGCCCAUGAGCCAUUCCACCUCCUCUCUGUACGAUGUCUCGCCACUGUCACUGAUGGUGUCAUCAGCGAACGUGACGAAGUGGUUUGAACUGGAUCUGGCAGUGCAUCGUGGGUUAGCAGCGUGAACAGCAGUGGGCUGAGGAAGCAGCCACUCCUGAUGAUGGUGCGAAUGCAUUUUUGUUGCAUCACUCAGGAACCUUGUCCAUUUUAAUACAAAUGCAUGUGAUUGGCCGCAACAGAAGCUGUGCUGGUCCUUGUUUUAAGAAACCAAGGAUUUUUUACGUUUAUCAGCUCUGCUAAAGUAUUGUUUUUGGGUUUUUUUUCUCGGUUUGGCUGAAAUACUUUGCAAAUUGACAACUAAUGAUGAUGACUCAUUGGUUAAGGCUCUGGUUUUAUGGAUCGGAAAUCCAGUCCCAAUACUGCCAAGACUUCACGUGCUCAGCUCAGUUUCACUUUGGAUAAACGUGUCUGCCUAACGAGUAAAUGCAGAUGUUGGAAUCCCAAGUGACAGCGACAUCCACAGAAAGAAAUGCAAGAAGGUGUUCUAUUGACUGAAAGAGGAAAUGGAGUGACCGUGGAAGAUUAAAACCAAGGUUGGUGACCUUGCUCAUAUAAUGGCAGACACAUGGGCGGUUCAGGCUCUGGGUUACUGAUCAGAAGGUUGGCGGUUCAAGCCCCAGUGCCACCAAGCUGCCACUGUUGGGCCCUUGAGCAAGGCCUUUAAUCUUCUCUUCUCCAGGGGCACUGUAUCAUGGCUGACCCUGUGCUCUGACCCCAGCUUGUUAGGAAGUGGAUAUGCGAAGAAAAUAAUUUCCCUGUGCUAUAAUAUGUAUGUGACAGGAAUUCUUCUUGUUCUUCUUCUUUCUUGUUCUUCUUCCUUCUUGUUCUUCCUUCUUCUUCUUGAUUCAUUGAACAUUUUCUUAGGAUUUCUAAGGGAGACUUCCAUUUAAUGUCUGAAUAAAACCUUUAACCCAUAGUACAUAUUGGUACAUUGCUGGUAUAUCGAUCAUUUUAGCGACCGCUCUGUUUCCCAUCAUGGAUUUUGGUGUUAAAAUGACGUUAUAUCAUAUGUGUAUUGUUAAAAUAUUGCAAAAAUCUGUUUAAUUAAAAUGUAAAAACUAUGGAAAUGUUACAGACUAUUUUAGUCUGUUUCACAAAUAAUGAGAUGAAGAGAUUUCUUUUCUUCUUCUUCUGCUUAUUAUUAUCAUUAUUAUCGUAAUAUUAUGACUUUAUGAAAAAGAUCUGCAUAGCAUGCUAUUUGAUUUCUCAAAAUAUUAUACGUAUAAUUUUUGUAACAUUAUGUUCUUUUAAUUUUUUUAAAUUGCAUUCAAAAGCUAUAAUUCCCAAUGAUGACUGGAGGAAGGAAAUUGAGAGAAAAAGGAAAAAAUUAAAGGAUAAUGUCAUUUGUUAGCUUUAGAAUUGGUAUUAAAUGAACAUAUAUUUUUAAAUAUUAUAUAUUUGCAUAAAUGUUGUUGUUGUUGUUAUUAUUAUUAUUAUUAUUAUUAUUAUUAUUAUUAUAUUAUUACUUAUUGCUUAU
ensembl:lncRNA